GAUGAAGAACGUAGCAAAAUGCGAUAAGUAAUGUGAAUUGCAGAAUUCAGUGAAUCAUCGAAUCUUUGAACGCACAUUGCGCCCGCUGGUAUUCCGGCGGGCAUGCCUGUUCGAGCGUCAUUUCAACCCUCAGGCCCCCGGGCCUGGCGUUGGGGAUCGGCGGAGCCCCCCGUGGGCACACGCCGUCCCCCAAAUGCAGUGGCGGUCCCGCCGCAGCUUCCAUCGCGUAGUAGCUAACACCUCGCGACUGGAGAGCGGCGCGGCCACGCCGUAAAACACCCAACUCUUCUGAAGUUGACCUCGAAUCAGGUAGGAAUACCCGCUGAACUUAAGCAUAUCAAUAAGCGGAGGA
rnacentral:misc_RNA from 1 species